CCCAAUGCCCAAAAAUCUAUAACUAUAAUAAUCAAAGUAUAAUAAAUAUAAAUUAGGAUAAAAAGAAUACAUGUAGCGCUAAUCCUAAUUUUCAUGAGGCGUCCAAGAGUUCGCCCUCCAAUGGUGAUCCACACAGAAAUUGAACCAAAGACAACGCUCCUUCUUCACCUUACUUCCAGAGUUCUAAUCCCUAGAACUCGACUAGCCUCAUACCGAUCAGGUUUCUUCAAGAAUUUGACUCCACCCUCUCAGAACCUCCUCUAGACUUUUGGUUCUCCUUCUUUAGAAUCUUUACAACCCUUGUUAGGACCAGAUAAGGCUUUGUCUUAAAUCCC
rnacentral:lncRNA from 1 species